UAUCAGGAAAAUGUGCUGGUACGCUCU
rnacentral:sRNA from 1 species